AUACGUAGGGGGCUAAGCGUUAUCCGGAUUUACUGGGUGUAAAGGGAGCGUAGACGGCGUAGUAAGUCUGGUGUGAAAGCCCAGGGCUCAACCCUGGGACUGCAUUGGAAACUAUUAUGCUAGAGUGCAGGAGAGGUAAGUGGAAUUCCUAGUGUAGCGGUGAAAUGCGUAGAUAUUAGGAGGAACACCAGUGGCGAAGGCGGCUUACUGGACUGUAACUGACGUUGAGGCUCGAAAGCGUGGGGAGC
rnacentral:rRNA from 1 species